rnacentral:rRNA from 1 species
GACGAACGCUGGCGGCGUGCUUAACACAUGCAAGUCGAGCGAUGAAACUUCUUCGGAAGUGGAUUAGCGGCGGACGGGUGAGUAACACGUGGGCAACCUGCCUCAUAGUGGGGAAUAGCCUCUCGAAAGGGAGAUUAAUACCGCAUAAGAUUGUAGUUCCGCAUGGAACAGCAAUUAAAGGAUUUAUUCGCUAUGAGAUGGGCCCGCGGCGCAUUAGCUAGUUGGUGAGGUAACGGCUCACCAAGGCGACGAUGCGUAGCCGACCCGAGAGGGUGAUCGGCCACAUUGGGACUGAGACACGGCCCAGACUCCUACGGGAGGCAGCAGUGGGGAAUAUUGCACAAUGGGGGAAACCCCGAUGCAGCAACGCCGCGUGAGUGAUGACGGUCUUCGGAUUGUAAAGCUCUGUCUUUAGGGACGAUAAUGACGGUACCUAAGGAGGAAGCCACGGCUAACUACGUGCCAGCAGCCGCCGCAG